UCCACCCACCUUGGCCUCUCAAAGUGCUGGAAUUACAGGCGUGAGCCACUACACCCAGCCAAAAAUUACUGUCUUACAUGUGCAUCAAAUAUGCUGAAAGGUAAUGCUAAAGUAGUUCCGAAGUUGUUGGAUUAGGGAGCUCUACUGAUGGAAAAACAAAUUUAGAUGAGUUUGCUAUGAGAUCUGGAAAUGCAGAAGGCAUAUUUCGACCAGUUAAAAACCCCUGGAGUUAUUCAAAACGAUAUAGAGAAAAGAGGAAGCAGAAUCUCCACUUUGAGAAUGAAGAUUCAGACUGGCUGAUAACUGGAGGACGCUCAGGUGGGAGUGCAGUUGCCGUAUCGGCAUUCACAUGCUAUGCGGCUUUAGGAUCAGAUACAGGAGGGCUGACCAGAAAUCCUGCUGCCUACUGUGGGCUUGUUGGUUUCAAACCAAGCUAUGGCUUAGUUUCCAAUCAUGGUCUCAUUUCCCUGGAGAAUUUGAUGGAUGUGCAAGGAAUCUUAACCAGAUGUGUGGAUGAUGCAGCAAUUGUCUUGGGUGUACUGACUGAACAUGACCCUAAGGAUUCUACCACAGUACAGGAUCCUGUUAAACCAUUCAUGCUUCCCAGUUUGACAAAUGUGAGCAAACUACGUAUAGGUGUUCCAAAGGAAUAUCUUGUACUGGAAUUAUCAAGUGAAGUACAGUCUCUUUGGUCCAAAGCUGCUGACCUCUUUGAGUCUGAGGGGGCCAAAGUAAUUGAAGUAUCCUUUUCUCACAUCACUUAUUCAAUUGUCUGCUACCAUUUAUUGUGCACAUCAGAAGCAGCAUCGAGUAUAGCAAGAUUUGAUGGGCUACAAUAUGGUCACAGAUGUGACACUGAUGUGUCUACUGAAGCCAUGUAUGCUGCAACCAGACGAGAAGGGUUCAAUGAUUUUGUAAGAGGAAGAAUUCUCUCAGGAAAUGUUUUCUUGUUAAAAUAAAAAUAUGAAAAUUAUUUCAUCAAAGCACAGAAAGUGAGAUGCCUCAUUGCUAAUGAUUUUUGUGAAUGCUUUUAACUUUGGAGUAUGCUAACUCCCACCACCUUGAGUGAGGCAGUACCAUACUUGGAGUUCAUCAAAGAAGACCACAGAACAGGAAGUGCCCAGGAUGAUAUUUUUACACAAGCUGUAAACAUGGCAGGACUGUCAGCAGUGAGUAACCCUGUUGCACUCUCAAACCAAGGGUUGCCAAUAGGACUGCCGUUUACUGGACAUGCAUUUUGUGACUAGCAGCUUCUUACAGUAGCCAAACGGUUUGAAAAACAAGUAAAAUUUCCUGUUACUCAACUUCAAGAACUUAUGGAGGAUUGUUCAUCAGUCCUUGAAAAUGAAAACUUAGUCUCUGUCUAAUACAGUAGGGAUAAAUAUAUCAUGCAAAAUUUUUAAAAAUUGUCUUUAUACUAUCAAGUUUAUUUCCCAUGAAUAUUGCAUAAAAUUCCAUUUAUUCAUUCAAGUCCUUUCUUGUUCUUCAAUGAUCACAUAAUUGCCAUACAUUAAUUUAAUAAUUUUUAUUGAAUACCAUGUUGAAAACUAAAUUUAAUAUUUUAAAUGACUCUAGAAUAUACAUUCUUUCCAAGCACACUGGAACAUUCUCCAAGAGAGCCUAUACUCUGGGCCACAAAACAACUCAAUAACUUUAAGAUUAAAAUCAUGCAAAAAUAGUUUUUCUGUUGACAAAAAAAUUUGUGGAAACAUCAAAUAUUUGAAGAGCUUAA